GAUGAACGCCGGCGGUGUGCCUAAUACAUGCAAGUCGAGCGCAUUGGCCCAACUGAUAUGACGUGCUUGCACUGAAUUGAUGUUGGAUUACCAGUGAGCGGCGGACGGGUGAGUAACACGUGGGCAACCUGCCCUGAAGCGGGGGAUAACAUCUGGAAACAGGUGCUAAUACCGCAUAACAACGAAAACCACAUGGUUUUCGUUUCAAAGAUGGUUUCGGCUAUCACUUCAGGAUGGGCCCGCGGUGCAUUAGCUAGUUGGUAAGGUAACGGCUUACCAAGGCAAUGAUGCAUAGCCGAGUUGAGAGACUGAUCGGCCACAAUGGAACUGAGACACGGUCCAUACUCCUACGGGAGGCAGCAGUAGGGAAUCUUCCACAAUGGGCGCAAGCCUGAUGGAGCAACACCGCGUGAGUGAAGAGGGGUUUCGGCUCGUAAAGCUCUGUUGUUGGAGAAGAACGUGCGUGAGAGUAACUGUUCACGCAGUGACGGUAUCCAACCAGAAAGUCACGGCUAACUACGUGCCAGCAGCCGCGGUAAUACGUAGGUGGCAAGCGUUAUCCGGAUUUAUUGGGCGUAAAGCGAGCGCAGGCGGUUGCUUAGGUCUGAUGUGAAAGCCUUCGGCUUAACCGAAGAAGGGCAUCGGAAACCGGGCGACUUGAGUGCAGAAGAGGACAGUGGAACUCCAUGUGUAGCGGUGGAAUGCGUAGAUAUAUGGAAGAACACCAGUGGCGAAGGCGGCUGUCUGGUCUGCAACUGACGCUGAGGCUCGAAAGCAUGGGUAGCGAACAGG
rnacentral:rRNA from 1 species